AAUCAAUCAAUGAUGAAAUACCACGGAUGUAAAAUUCACAGACCUGUUCUGAACAAAGCGCAAACAAAACAAAAACAAUGUGGAUAUCUCCGUUGCCUUCCUUCUGAUUGAUUGAU
rnacentral:snoRNA from 1 species